CGGUUUUUAAUAUUUUAAUUGGCGAGCUAGUCAGGAGACUGUUGUUUUGUCUUUUAUUUUGUUCCUAAAUGAUCCAGUCUGGUUCAGAAAGUGUUGUUAUUUAUUUGGUUAGGAGCCUAUCUUAUAGAAGUCACAUGCUUGAAUAAUGAUUUUAAUUUGUUUUAAUGGAGUUAGCCUAUUUUGCAUUUAUAACAUUUCACAUUACUUAUUUUUAUUUUCCUCUCAAAGUAAAAUAAAAACAAAAAAGGGGGAGAGGUAGACAUAUGUUUGAUUAAGAAACAACUGAAACAAGAUUGGGGUUUAAUGGAGUUAGCUAAUACACAACUCUCUGCUGUAGUUGGGAUUCUAACUUUGUGUUGUGCGAGAUUCCAUCUUUGUUUCUCACAAUGUAGGAGUCCUGAAUCACUGAUACACCUUGUCCAAUGAAGGGGUACCUCACCUGUGGUCCAGAUCAUUCCAGGGACAAACCAAGCCCAGACCUAUGAGAGACUGCCUUGGGUUCAGAGUAAAAGUAUUGGACACUGAUGGUUCCAGCUUCACCACAGCCAAGGAGAGGACUGUGUGGCAGACCUCAAGCUCAAUGCAUGGAAACAAAUUGGGAACAACCAUGUGAAGUGAAACCUCCUGCAAUCUUUCCCUUUGGCACCUUCUGAGUUCCAGAACCAGAUUCAUGGUAUAAUGGACAUUUAGCUGGGGAAAAGGUUGGGAAAAGGCCUGACCUCCUUGUUAAGUCUGGAACACAUCAAUGUGCCAGGUAAAGGGAGAGGACUGGGGAGUAACUUCACACUUACAUUUAGACUUUGACAUGCAUUGGUAUAGACGAGAAUCAGGGGACCCACCAACGCAAACAACUCAGAGGGCCUUAUCGGCGAUGAAAGGGAGAACCGGACAUUAUCUUAAGUAACUGCACUCACAACACCUACUAGAAGCUGACACACACACACACACACACACCACACUGGGUUCAAUGAAGAAGGGUAAAACCUGAAUGGAAAAAGUACAUCAUUUUAACUGACAUUAGUCAACAACAACUAAAGAUUUGUGAAAAUGUAAUUUUUGAUAACAUCCCAAAGCAUUUUUAUGCCAACUGCAGGGUAACAGAGUAUGUAUAGAUGACAAUCUAGACUUCCCACAUUGGUUUUACUCAAUGUAUAUGUUUAUUUCAAUCAUUGCAAAAGGAAAAGAAAACAACAGUGAUAAAUUAUUAUCUUUAGUAAACAUUUAAUUUUGUGAAUGACAGAAGGGAGAAUGGGUAAUUCUAUGUCUGCUAAUGUUUCUUCUAUGCUUGUGUUGCAGAAUUGACAUCCACAGAUGCAACCCUGAUCAGUUUAAUAUUUUAAUGUGAAAACAAUCUAACAUUUGAUCUGUAACCUUCAGGAAAACCUCACUCUGCCUGGUUCCCCACUGAUUUUCACUUACACUGAUAUACAACACAAGUCCACACCUAGUUUAAAGCCUGGAGUUGCCAUGAUGGUAAACAUCAAACCCAGAAGGGGCCUGCCCAGUGUGGUGAGUCCACAACUGAUGCACUCACAUGAAUGCUAUUCAAUUAUCCAGAAGAUCAAGAAAGAUGACCAGCCGCCGAAAGACUGUAACAGAAACAAAUAAACUAAUUUCUAUUUUGGGUAAUCAUUGAUCAUGCAUGUUGAAAUGACUUGUUUGAAUUUCUUAAUGAUUGUAUGCAAAAGUAACUUAUGUAAAGUAAUUGUAACCUUUUGGUCCUUAAGAUCCAGUAAGGUUUCUUGCAAUAUAAUUGGUGUCAUUACUCCUAGAUUAAUACAUUUAUUGUAGGAGGAAUUGUAGAAAAUUCAUUUAUAGUCAUCCCAAUUUAUUCAUGAUCUUAUUAGAAGGGUUUUUCAUUCUGUAUGCUUGAUCAAUUACACUGGUACUGAAAGACUUCUCUCUCUCUGUCUCCAAAUUAUAAGGCCAGUGUUCAGGGGCAGUGAUGAACUGAAUGGCCUUGACUCCUUUUAGCAAUAAACAGGUGAACAGAGCUCUAUUCCUUAUUGGGAAGAGCAUAGUUAACUAAAGUCCCCAUAUUGUAAAUGUCCAGAUUGAUAUAUCUCAGUCUUUGACUGGGUUGUCUGGGCAACUGACAUUCUAUGAUUUUCUGUGCCUCCCUGGAGCUAUUUGUGCAACCUUGCAUUUUUAGACUACCUCAUAGUGGCUACUAUUCCUUGUAUGUACAUUCUGCAAAUGCUAAUUCCGUCAUCUGUACUAUUGGAAGAGAAUAUAAGCUUGAAACUUGAAAUGCACAAUCAGAACAAUCUGUCAUGACUUACUCUGUGUUGGCCUCUGUACUUGUACUCUUUUUGUCAUGAUCCUUG
ensembl:lncRNA